AAUCAACGCUGGCGGCGUGCCUAACACAUGCAAGUCGAACGCGAAAGCCCCGCAAGGGGUAAGUAGAGUGGCAAACGGGUGAGUAACACGUGGGUGACCUGCCUUCGAGUGGGGGAUAACGUCCCGAAAGGGACGCUAAUACCGCAUGACAUCCUGCUUUUGAAAAAGCGGAGAUCAAAGCUGGGGAUCGCAAGACCUAGCGCUUGAAGAGGGGCCCGCGCCUGAUUAGCUAGUUGGUGAGGUAACGGCUCACCAAGGCGACGAUCAGUAUCCGGCCUGAGAGGGCGGACGGACACACUGGGGCUGAGACACGGCCCAGACUCCUACGGGAGGCAGCAGUGGGGAAUUGUUCGCAAUGGGCGCAAGCCUGACGACGCAACGCCGCGUGGAGGACGAAGAUCUUCGGGUCGUAAACUCCUGUCGAGCGGGACGAACGCUUCGCGGAUGAAUAAUCCGCGGAAUUGACGGUACCGCUAAAGGAAGCCCCGGCUAACUCCGUG
rnacentral:rRNA from 1 species